UAGGCUCAAGUGUGUGAAAACUGGGGGUGUUACAGUUUCGCAAUUUCUUCUUUCUCGUCGGUUGUUGGUUCUCCUUCGCAUAGUAGCAAAGGUCGCCGGUUCUCCUUCGUACACCAAGUACACCUCCGCCGAUGGCUGUGAAGAAUGAUGCCAGAGGCUUGCCAGAAGAUUUCCACCGCUGCUGUCAUCCAGAUCUGUUCGCAUUUGCUUACAACUUUUGAUAAAAAGGAUCUCUGCUCAGAAGGAAAAGAAUACCAACACUUGAAUAAAGAAAAAUGACCUUGAGCAUUUUUAGUGACAUUGCAAAGCAAUGCAGAGAUCAUGGUUUAAAGCACUGUGGCAAGUAUUCCAUUCCUGUUCUAACUUCUAAGCUUGCAAGGACACAAGCAGCAGUUGCCAUUCAAUUCGUUUCUCCUUCUCCGAUUCACACAGCAGCGGUAGUUGUUCGUUUCUCCUUCAUUAGGUAGAGGAUCAAGGACCAAGAUAUUGGACUUAAGGCUGUUAUAGUCCUCAUUGAAUCCUUGCAAGAAGCGGAUGACUUGAUCUACAUCAUGUUCUUUUCUGAUUUGAGUAACUAGGUCACAUGAACACUUCGGAUCGCAUCUGCAACACGGAAGUGGCCUUAGUGCGUUCAUCCUUUCCCAUAAGAGCAGCAAUUUUCUGGGCGUCGCAUUGAGAGAAACGACGUUCCAAAUCCUCCCAGAUUUCUUUGGCCUUAUCUAAAUGCAUGAUGCUUUGCGCAAUAAUAGGAUGAACAAAUUUAAAAAACCAUGAACAUACCAUGAGAUUGCAUCGCCUCCAAGCAACGAACUGGAAAUGGUCUCUGGCCGGCGCGAUGAUGCUCCCGUCGACGAUACACCAUUUAUUCUUCACUUCUAGAGCGGUUCUCAUUGAAAUACUCUAGGAUCCAUAGUUCACGCUGCCUAGCAGACUAACUAGCACAUUGUUCGGAUUGUCACUGCAGCUAAAGAAGAACGGAUUAUCGAGAUCCUCCAUGCUCUGAGUUCUCUGUUGCUGGAAUAGGCUCCUCUGCAGAGUUCGAUUCCUUUGUGGAGUUGCAGUGGAUGUUGCAUGCGUCGAUGAGUGUGCGAUCGGCGCCGAUCCUACAGGCGUCUAUUGUUCUGGCUCACCGGUGACCACAGCGGCGUAAGAGCUGUAUUUGUUCAUCUUGCCGGAGCUAAGCCGUAGGGCUCUGAUACCAUGACGUGAAGUACGAAGAGGAGAGAGAGAGAAAGUAAACUUGUUUUAUUCAAUGUGUCAACAACAGAAGCCAGGAGAAAGCAUUUGUACAAAGGGAAUUGGAGGUCUGUAGAUUGCUUCAGAUUAGGUUGCUAUGCCUGCUGAUGCUGAUUUCUUUUGCCUAUCACCGGGAGACAAAAAUGAAGUAAGUUUC